CCCCCCCCCUCCUUGCAGAGAAAACAUUUGGUCAGUUUGGGAGUCAAAAUGGUUUCAGGAUGUCUUCUUGUGCUGCUCCAGACAUGUGAUUCACAUAUCUAUGUACGUGCUUCAUUGUUACAUUUAUGAACAUUUAUUAUAUAUAUAAGACCUUAAUUUUUUUAUUUCAGAAUGCUCUGACAAUACGUGAGGAAUGAGGAAGAACAAGAAGCCAAAAUGUUUAAGAAAGGAAAUCUUACCGCAUGAUUAGCUCCAAACACUUUCCAAAUCUACUCCAGUAUGCUACUGGUGCAGGCAUUCAGAUAUUAUCAUAAAAGUAUCUCUAAGCUUCUUUUUCUAAUAGCAAGGAUUUACUUAACUCAAAAUCCCUUCCCCUUGACAUCCGCAUCAUGGGUAGGCAAACUAAGGCCCGGGGGUUGGAUCCGGCCUAAUCGCCUUCUAAAUCCAGCCCAUGGACGGUCCAUGAAUCAGUAUGUUUUUACAUGAGUAUAAUGUGUCCUUUUAUUUAAUAUGCAUCUCUGGAUUAUUUGUGGGGCAUAGGAAUUCAUUCUUUUUCUUUUUAAAAAAAAUAUAGUCCAGCCCCCCACAAGGUCUGAGGGACAGUGGACCGGCCCCUUGCUGAAAAAGUUUGCUGACCCCUGAUCCACAUCCUCCUAGCUAUGAGAGCCAAGAUGCUGGUCCAUCUCUCCCUCCACAGUAAAAGUGGGACUGGAGGAGUCCCAAAUACCUGGCUUACAUUUUGCUUGCACCAGGUUACCGAUCCAAUCAACAACACCAAAAACCUUGCAUUUUCACUUGCCAACAGGAAAAGGAUAUUCAAAAAGGUGGCUCUGUUUGUUCUGUAGCAGCAAAAUUACAUUGGCCUAUUUAGAAAUUCUUGUAGCUGGUUGCUGUAAUUUUUGUAUUUAUUAUUUUCCUUCUUCUCCACCCCCCCACCCCAAAUACCUUAUGUGAAAUCUUGCCUGGAGAACUUAAACACUUGCCACUUUGGUGGUAUUUGGGUUUGUCCCAAAUAAAAGUUUUGCUGAACUGAGGAUUCUGACAUUUUUACUGUGUAUUUCCCUGUUUAGGGAAGUUUUUAAUGUCUGAUGUUUUAUUGUGUUUUUAAUAUUCUGUUGAGAACCACCCAGAGUGGCUUGGGAAACCUAGUCAGAUGGGUGGGGUAUAAAUAAUAAAUUAUUAUUAUAUUAUGUUAUUAUUAUUUUAUAAUUGCUUCUUUUAAAGUUUUGUUGGCAUGGAUGGCCCUUGCAAGGGCCUAAAACAUGAUGCUUCAAUUAAGAGGAUCAACAACAAUCAGUGUUGGGUUGACUUUUAAUCAUUGUGGUUCUCUCCCCCCCCCCCCAUGUUUUCAGCUGUUCUUAUUUUUAUCUGUAAGCUUUUGUUGGCGUCUCUCGGUGCUGCACAGGCUGGGGCAACCUUUCCCAGGCCAAUUUGGACAGUGUGGCAUCUUUCAAGGAUGGGGAGACCUUCCAGAAGGCAACUCCAGGCAGUGCAGCAGAACAGAGAGAGAUUGUGCAGUUAAAUGAGGACCUGAAGCUUGAGAUACAGAGAGAUUUGUGCUUGCCUAUGAAACAUGCUUUCUCAAGAACAACCAACCCCAGAGUUCCUUGUGCAUAAUAGACUGCAUGGAGGAACCGUCGGUGAAAGGCUGGUGAAACUGAUCCCAGGGGCACAGUAGAAGACAGGGCUGCCGCUUUACAGGCCCAAAAUAUAGAGAUCUACUUCACACCCACGCUGCCAUGGCAUGCUGUAAAUGCAGUUCACAGCUGUUUCUGAUGAGCUUUCUCAUCAUUUCCCUCCCAAAAGGUUCAUUUGGGUUCUUAUUAACAAAAAUCAGCAACGUGUGUUAUGGUUUUUUGGGCAACACCAAUAACUGGCAGAAGCCGAAAGAAGUUUCAGUAAGUGAAAAUGUUGUUGGAGACUCACGAUUUCAUUAUAUCGGUGACCUGGAACAUAUUCCCACCCAGAGUCUAUUCUGGGGUGGCCUCAGGGUAUACGAGAAACCUGGCAAGUGGCUUUCUUAUAUAUUACGAGCUAAUAAAACACUUCUCAGAUUGUAUCAUCGUAACCACAGCAUUAUUUUAGACACUACUUUUCUCCCACUUAGCGGC